UACGUAGGUGGCAAGCGUUGUCCGGAAUUAUUGGGCGUAAAGCGCGCGCAGGUGGUUCCUUAAGUCUGAUGUGAAAGCCCACGGCUCAACCGUGGAGGGUCAUUGGAAACUGGGGAACUUGAGUGCAGGAGAGAAGAGUGGAAUUCCACGUGUAGCGGUGAAAUGCGUAGAGAUGUGGAGGAACACCAGUGGCGAAGGCGACUCUUUGGCCUGUAACUGACACUGAGGCGCGAAAGCGUGGGGAGCGAACAGG
rnacentral:rRNA from 1 species